UAAGGGAUAUUGGUCAAUGGGGCGGGGAGCCUGAACCAGCCAUGCCGCGUGAGGGAAUGAGGCCCUACGGGUCGUAAACCUCUUUUGCCGGGGGAUAACGGGCGCCACGCGUGGCGCCGUGAAGGUACCCGGAGAAUAAGCAUCGGCUAACUCCGUGCCAGCAGCCGCGGUAAUACGGAGGAUGCGAGCGUUAUCCGGAUUUAUUGGGUUUAAAGGGUGCGCAGGCGGGCGUCUAAGUCAGCGGUGAAAGUUCCCGGCUCAACCGGGUCAGUGCCGAUGAUACUGGGGGCCUUGAAUGCGGUCGAGGCCGGCGGAAUGCGUUGUGUAGCGGUGAAAUGCAUAGAUAUGACGCAGAACUCCGAUUGCGAAGGCAGCUUUCCAGCGCGCUACUGACGCUGAGGCACGAAAGCGUGGGGAUCGAACAGGAUUAGAUACCCUGGUAGU
rnacentral:rRNA from 1 species